UCCGAUGAUGGCUAAUAAUCUUUGAGACCUGAUUUUCUCUAGUUGAAUAUUACAAGCGAUCAUUUUGAGGAC